CCAUUUGGUCACAUGACAUCUGUUCAGCCAGUCCCACUUCCUGGUAGUCUCCAUACAAGCCAUCUGUAUUACUCCACCAACAGAUGUGUGGGAGUAUGGGAAUGGGAAGGCUGCAACAGACGCUGCAAACUCACUGCUGACACCAGGGCUCUCAUGUGGGAUGGAUUUUUAAGAGGAUUGGCCAGGUGUGCCCUGUUGGGUACAGAUCCUUCCGGAUGGCGAGCUAGACUCAAGAGUUUGAACCCUGUAAAACACACCAACCUUCUGCCGUCUGGUAGGAGGCUGUUUGAAAGCCAGUCCACUCCCAUCUUUUUGCCCUGCUCACCGCUCACAUUUACACUGGUUGAAUAGCGCGCAUAUGGACAUUUAUUCAAUUUUCAUGGACUCUGUUUAUUAUUGGACAACUCAUACAUACUACAUUGUGAAAGGUGGACAGAAUGAUUGUAACCUAACUUGGUGAUGAUGAUGGAACAAUUUCAGCUGGGUUGAGUUUGCAUACUGGCUCAUUAUAUGUUGUGAAUCAUUUGGAAGAGUCAACUCUUGAAAUUGAACCUUGUGAACAUGUUUUUCCCCCUUUAUUCUGCAGAUUGUAAAUAUCGUACAUACUGUUUUUUGGGGGGGGGUUCCACCGUAUUGUGAUAUAAAUUCACUGAAAGACAAAAUUCUGCCUGUGUGAUUGCUGUACCUGCACCUCCCUGAGCUGACAUCUAGAAACUUCUGAUUCAAGCCCAGACAUUAUUUCCUUUUUCCCAUAGCAAAUCUUAAAACAUGUUACACAGGGAUAAAGUGGUUAAAGUAGCACAGGCUACCUAUUAAGCCUGUUAGCAUAGUACAGCAACAAUUAAACAUAACAUUAACUCGUCCCCAUGAAAUAAACCCUGAAGUAAAUGUUAAUAACAAAAACAAAUAUAACAAUCCAUGUUCCUGUCAUUCAUCGCUGCACAUUCAGGGAAAAUCCUGUCAGGAAUAAUGUCUAAUAAUUGCAUCCCUCACCACACGUCCAGUCAGUCCCUCAUUCUGACAGAAUGUCGGAGGUUGGUCCGGUUCCUCAACAUGAGGCUCCGGUGCAUCAUUAACAUGAUCACAGAGAGGGACAUUGUGUCUUUGUGAAGA